UUGCAUUGCAUACUUUGUUGUUGAUGUGGAUGAAUGUUGAAUGAUCCAUUAGCCCUUGUAUGUCAUGAUAGCCUAUGUGAGUCCAGGUGUGCCUGCUACGGCUCUACGCCCCUGGCACUAUGAUAGAUUAUGGAAGUCCGGGUGUGCCUGCUACGGCUCUACGCCCCCGGCAGGUAUAAGUAAGAAAGAUAGGGGCUAAAUGGUGACAAGUUCAUCCUUGUUGUGAAAUGUUUGUGUUAUGGCGCAUACAUGAAAGCAUGAACAAGAAAAAGAAAGAAAAAGUUAAAUGAAUAAUAAUAUACCUAAAAAUGGAGGAAUUAAAAUAAAUGUUUUUAGUUUCUGCUCACUGG
rnacentral:lncRNA from 1 species